rnacentral:rRNA from 1 species
CAGUCGCCGCGGGAAUACGAGGGGGGCAAGCGUUGUUCGGAAUUAUUGGGCGUAAAGGGUGCGUAGGCGGCUUGACAAGUCUUGUGUGAAAUCUAUGGGCUCAACCCAUAGUCUGCACGGGAAACUGUCGGGCUUGAGAAUGGGAGAGGUGAGUGGAAUUUCCGGAGUAGCGGUGAAAUGCGCAGAUAUCAGGAGGAACACCAAUGGCGAAGGCAGCUCGCUGGGACGUGACUGACGCUGAGACGCGAAAGCGUGGGGAGCAAACAGGAUUAGAUACCCCGGUAGUCCCUGUCUCUUAUAC